rnacentral:rRNA from 1 species
GACGAACGCUGGCGGCGUGCUUAACACAUGCAAGUCGUACGGUAAGGCCCUUUCGGGGGUACACGAGUGGCGAACGGGUGAGUAACACGUGAGUAACCUGCCCACAACUUUGGGAUAACGCUAGGAAACUGGUGCUAAUACUGGAUAUGUGCUCCUGCUGCAUGGUGGGGGUUGGAAAGCUCCGGCGGUUGUGGAUGGACUCGCGGCCUAUCAGCUUGUUGGUGGGGUAGUGGCCUACCAAGGCGGCGACGGGUAGCCGGCCUGAGAGGGUGACCGGCCACAUUGGGGCUGAGAUACGGCCCAGACUCCUACGGGAGGAAGCAGUGGGGAAUAUUGCACAAUGGGCGCAAGCCUGAUGCAGCAACGCCGCGUGCGGGAUGACGGCCUUCGGGUUGUAAACCGCUUUCAGCAGGGACGAAGCUUUUUGUGACGGUACCUGCAGAAGAAGCACCGGCUAACUACGUG